GUUCUUAUGUUCUUAUGUUCUUAUCUAUAGUAUGAUUGCCGAGUUCCUUGUCCGAAACUUGGAAAGAAUCACACUGUGAUGAUGUAGCUAAGUGCAAGCCUCUGAGCGCGAAGCAGUUCUAGGUCCCUGAUCUAGGACUUUGAUGACCGUUCAUUCUCGGUUUACCGGUGUAAGGAGGCUUGCACAGGCUGAGCAGU